AGACAAGACAGGUCGACUCCAUUUUCCUCCUCUCAUACAGUUCUACGCGUCAUGCUGCAGUUUGGAGGAGCAACUCCGCAACCAACAGGGUCAGCAGCCAUAACUCCUUGCUGUUGGGCGUCAGAAGAGCAAGAUUGACAGCUUCUACAUCACCAUGGGUGUCACGGGUCGCCUACAACCAAUUCUUCAAAAGUCCACAACCAGCAGUUUAUCCAUGAGGUAACACAACAUUUGUGGGAAGACUGAACCACAUCUCUGGUUCAAGACAGAUGACACCUGUGGGUAAUUUUGUCUUUGUAAAUUAAAGCGCAAACUCUUGGCAUCAAAUGGGAGCAAACGGUGAUCGUGUCCUCCUGGUGAGUCAAGGAGAAGCAGGUGACAGACACAUAUCAGCCUCAGGUAACACCAUCAGAGUGAGGAAGGUAAGAGAGAGGGGUGAAUGAUAUGUAAGAAUAGGAGGGAAGGAGAGAGGGAUGGUGUCAGUUGCUCCUUUUUUCUUCCUUGACAUUAAACGUCCUUGACAUAGGUGUAAUGAUACUACUCUUAAUCUUUACCUCUUCGUAACGCCACCUUUACCUCAGAUCUACAUGCAACAGACCUAUAUGUCAUGUGUUCGUAUUCAAUGCGAUCCUCAGCUGAACCCAAUGUUCCAUAUUCACUGAGCCGCGUUUAGCAAAAUGGAGAACCAAACUGCCGAAACUACAAUCAUCAUUUGUCAUGGUCUCAGCGUUGCUGUCAGUCAUUGAUGGGUUGGUGAUUCUCUCUCUCUGGGCCUCAACACUGACACAAACACCUUCACCUUUAUGGGAUUUAUUGGGAUCAGAGUGACACUCACAGCAGAUCUGCAACAUUAACAUUCAAGUUAGCGUUUAUUUGAAUCGCUUCACAAUGUUUGAACAUCAGGGCUCCACAUAUCGAAAGACAAUGGUGAAAAUUGGAUGGCAGGUGUGUCACCUGGUUUCACUGUUAUGUGAGCACUGGCAAAAAACAAACAAAC